GGAUUACAGGUGGGAGGUUGAUGUAAAAGGAUUGAUGUAAAAUUCAAAGCCAGCCUUAGCAACAGAGCAGGUAUUAAAAAAAAAAAAACGGGCUGGAGAUGUAGCUCAUUGGAAAGUAUCCCUGUGUUCAAUCCCCAGCACUCCCUCCCCUGAAAAACCCCUUGUUUCCUCACUUGAUCUCAGUUACAGCAUCCUUGUUAUUGCUCACUCAACUAUUCCCCAUCAUACACUAUUCUGGUUAAAUUAUUAAAAUUUUCCACAUCAAUUAACUACAACCUUAACACGGCUUUACACAAUCCUCCAAGGAGUUCCGUAGACACUUCAACACCAUCCAGCCUGGUGACUCCUAAUCUUGUUAUGGCUGCAUGGCUGCAAUCAGAUUUAUUUGGAGAGGUUUUUGUUUUAAUAUAGAUUCCUGAAUCCUAUCUGAGUAUCAGAUUGAAAUUUCCAGAGACAGGAAGUGAGAAAUAUAAAACAACUCUGUAGCUCUUCUGACCCAGAAGAAGCAGGUAUUUGGGAACCAUGCACAACAUUGCAGACCAGCUUUCAAGGUUUUCCACUCAAGUAGUUCAAUCCUUAUGAUCUUUUGCUGACCUCUGCCCUUGCCUUUUUUUUUUGGUACCAGGGAUUGAACCCAGAGGGCUUAACAACUGAGCUACCUCCCCAGCUCAUCAUAUGUUUUAUUUUGAGACAGGGCCUCACUAACUUACAUGGGCUCUCGUUCAGUUGCUAAGGCUGGCUUUGAACUUGCAAUCCUCCUGCCUCAGCCUCCCUAGCUGCUGGGAUUAUAGGUAUGCUCUGCCACACCCAGUGAAACAAGGGAUUUGACUGACAGGGACGAGUAAAAAAAAUAAAUAAAUAAACUCACAUCUUGUUAUGAAGGAAAUCACUGGAUAGAACAAAGAACCAUUAGGUCUUUUUUUUUUUUUUUUUUUUUUUUUUUUUAAUUGUAGUUGGACACAAUACCUUUAUUUUAUUUAUUUUUAUAUGGUGCUGAGGACCAGACCUAGCACCUCACAUAGCUAGGCGAGUGGUCUACCGCUGAACCACAACUCCAGCCCCUUGAGUCUAUUCUUUUUUUUUUUUUUUUUUAAAGAGAGAGAGAGAGAGAGAGAGAGAGAGAAUUUUUUAAUAUUUAUUUUUUCAGUUUUUGGCUGACACAACAUCUUUGUUUGUAUGUGGUGCUGAGGAUCGAACCCAGGCCCCACGCAUGCCAGGCGAGCGCGCUACCGCUUGAGCCACAUCCCCAGCCCACCAUUAGGUCUUAAUAGUUGGGGUAUUCUGAAAUCUCUAAUCAACCUUUAAACAGGAAUUGGUCAUAAGACAAAAUUACUGAAAUGUUCUAGCU
rnacentral:lncRNA from 1 species